AGAGUUUGAUCAUGGCUCAGGAUGAGCGCUAGCGGCAGGCUUAACACAUGCAAGUCGAGGGGUAUAGGUUUUCGGACCUAGAGACCGGCGCACGGGUGCGUAACGCGUAUGCAAUCUACCUUUUACAGAGGGAUAGCCCAGAGAAAUUUGGAUUAAUACCUCAUAGUAUUAUUGAAUGGCAUCAUUUAAUAAUUAAAGUCACAACGGUAAAAGAUGAGCAUGCGUCCCAUUAGCUAGUUGGUAAGGUAACGGCUUACCAAGGCAACGAUGGGUAGGGGUCCUGAGAGGGAGAUCCCCCACACUGGUACUGAGACACGGGCCAGACUCCUACGGGAGGCAGCAGUGAGGAAUAUUGGUCAAUGGGCGCAAGCCUGAACCAGCCAUGCCGCGUGCAGGAUGACG
rnacentral:rRNA from 1 species